rnacentral:siRNA from 1 species
GUUGACUUGCCAUUUGAGUCCUA